rnacentral:rRNA from 1 species
UGAGUAACCUGCCCUCCACUCUGGGAUAAGCCCGGGAAACUGGGUCUAAUACCGGAUAUGACCUCCUGUCUCAUGGCGGGUGGUGGAAAGUUUUUUGUGGUUUUGGAUGGACUCGCGGCCUAUCAGCUUGUUGGUGAGGUAAUGGCUCACCAAGGCGACGACGGGUAGCCGGCCUGAGAGGGCACACGGCCACACUGGCACUGAAACACGGCCCAGACUCCGUACGGGAGGCAG